UUUCAACAUUACAGGAAGCUGUAAGGAGCCUCCAUAAUUCAGAAAACAACCCUCAUAAAUACGAUCCACAAACUGGAAUAAGUUUACUUUAUGAUCAGGCAGUUAUGACAUAUCUGCUGGAGGAAUUAAGGAUGACUUUUGCAGAUGCAGACCCUGAGUGUAUAAAGGAGGAAAUACUCUUUUUCUCAGCCAGAAAAGUCUUCAUUAAGACUAAAAACCGACAAAGAUGA